CUGACAUCACUUGUCCAUGUGUAUAUAGUCUUAAUUCAUUCCUACUUAGAUUUGUGUCUAUUGGGUAUAUGUUGUGUAAUUUGUUAGAUAUUACUGCACUGUCGGAGCUAGAAGCACAAGCAUUUGAUUUGAUUUGAGUCAGUGUAGUUCAAGUGAGUCAGUGUAGUUCAGGUUAGUCAGUGUAGUUCAGGUGAGUCAGUGUAGUUCUGGUUAGUCAGUGUAGUUCAGGUUAGUCAGUGCAGUACAGGAGUCAGUAUAGUUCAGGUUAGUCAGUGUAGUUCAGGUGAGUCAGUGUAGUUCCGGUUAGUCAGUGUAGUUCAGGUUAAUAAGUGCAGUUCAGGUGAGUCAAUGCAGUACAGGAGUGCGUGCAGUACAUGAGUCAGUAUAGUUCAGGUGAGUCAGUGUAGUUCAGGUGAGUCAGUGUAGUUCAGGUUAGUCAGUGUAGUUCAGGUGAGUCAAUGCAGUACAGGCGUCAGUAUAGUUCAGGUUAGUCAGUGUAGUUCAUGUUAGUCAGUGUAGUUCAGGUGAGUCAAUGCAGUACAGGAGUCAGUGUAGUUCAGGUUAGUCAGUGUAGUUCAGGCGAGUCAGUGCAGUACAGGAGUCAGUGUAGUUCAGGUUAGUCAGUGUAGUUCAGGUUAGUCAGUGUAGUUCAGGUGAGUCAAUGCAGUACAGGAGUCAGUGUAGUUCAGGUUAGUCAGUGUAGUUCAGGUGAGUCAGUGCAGUACAGGAGUCAGUGUAGUUCAGGUGAGUCAGUGUAGUUCAGGUGAGUCAGUGCAGUACAGGAGUCAGUAUAGUUCAGGUUAGUCAGUGUAGUUCAGGUGAGUCAAUGCAGUACAGGAGUCAGUGUAGUUCAGGUUAGUCAGUGAAGUUCAGGAUAGUCAGUGUAGUUCAAGUGAGUCAAUGCAGUACAGGAGUCAGUGUAGUUCAGGUUAGUCAGUGUAGUUCAGGUUAGUCAGUGUAGUUCAGGUUAAUCAGUGUCGUUCAGGUUAGUCAGUGUAGUUCAGGUUAGUCAGUGUAGUUCAGGUGAGUCAGUGUAGUUCAGGUUUGUAAGUGCAGUUCAGGUGAGUCAAUGCAGUACAGGAGUGCGUGCAGUACAUGAGUCAGUGUCGUUCAGGUUAGUCAGUGUCGUUCAGGUGAGUCAGUGUAGUUCAG
rnacentral:lncRNA from 1 species